UGGCAUACCUCUUCAUUUAUGUGUCAAGACUUGUAUCGUCUUGAGCGUAUUGUGGGUUUCCUGUGUUGCAUACCUAACUGAUGGCAUCGGUUUGAUUGAUUGGAGUCCCUUUUCAUCUUGUGUUGCCUUUGUGAUGCAUGAUGAACUUUGAAUUGGCCUCUAUGUUCCACCAUGUUGAUGCUAGUGUUUUGAUGUUGUGGCCCAUUGAGUGUUGCUUGGUUUCGUGGAUACAGAACAUUAUUUGGGCAUAGGGUCACUUGUGACUCUUGUUUUGUCCUUUAUCAGUGUUCUUUAUAACGACGGUUCAUGCGUGCCUAGGCUCGUACCUGCGCGAUGUUCUUUGUCAAAAAGGAAUGCUACCUGGUUGAUCCUGCCAGUAGUCAUAUGCUUGUCUCAAAGAUUAAGCCA
rnacentral:misc_RNA from 1 species